rnacentral:rRNA from 1 species
AAAUUGAAGAGUUUGAUCAUGGCUCAGAUUGAACGCUGGCGGCAGGCCUAACACAUGCAAGUCGAACGGUAACAGGAARCAGCUUGCUGYUUCGCUGACGAGUGGCGGACGGGUGAGUAAUGUCUGGGAAACUGCCUGAUGGAGGGGGAUAACCCUGAUGGAGGGGGAUAAC